rnacentral:rRNA from 1 species
GUGGCAAGAUUAAAACUCAAAAUGAAUUGAAGGGGGGGCCGCACAAAGCGGUGGGAGCAUGUGGUUUUAAUUCGAUGCAACGCGAAGAACCUUACCUACUCUUUGACAUCUACAGAAGCCAGCGGAGACGCAGGUGUGCCUUCGGGAACUGUAAGACAGGUGCUGCAUGGCUGUCGUCAGCUCGUGUUGUGAAAUGUUGGGUUAAGUCCCGCAACGAGCGCAACCCUUAUCCUUGUUUGCCAGCACUUCGGGUGGGAACUCCAGGGAGACUGCCGGUGAUAAACCGGAGGAAGGUGGGGACGACGUCAAGUCAUCAUGGCCCUUACGAGUAGGGCUACACACGUGCUACAAUGGCGCAUACAGAGGGCGGCCAACUUGCGAAAGUGAGCGAAUCCCAAAAAGUGCGUCGUAGUCCGGAUUGGAGUCUGCAACUCGACUCCAUGAAGUCGGAAUCGCUAGUAAUCGUGGAUCAGAAUGCCACGGUGAAUACGUUCCCGGGCCUUGUACACACCGCCCGUCACACCAUGGGAGUGGGCUGCAAAAGAAGUGGGUAGUUUAACCUUCGGGAGGACGCUCACCACUUUGUGGUUCAUGACUGGGGUGAAGUCGUAACAAGGUAACCG